rnacentral:lncRNA from 1 species
ACAACCUGCCGUUUCCAGCUACAAUAGUCAUUUACAACAUUAACAAUGUCUACACUGUAUUUCUGAUCAAUUUGAUGUUCUUUUAAAGGACAGGAAAUGUGCUUUUCUUUCAAAAACAUGGACAUUUCUAAGUGACCCCAAACUUUUGAACAGUAGUGUACAUAUGCAAGAGCACACACUUAUGUCUACACUCUCACACACACACACACACACACAGCAGUGUCAGCUGUCAUAUAGAGGGAUGCAAUCACAACACUUUCCUUUUCAAGCCUUUAUUUUCUCCUUCCCCCUUACGAUUUCACCCUUAUCAGCUCCAAGGAAAAUGUUGUCAAAGGUGACAUUUGCACUUUUCUGAGCAUGGUUAUGUUUUACCACUUUUAAAGUAGCUCAGGCAAAUUUCAAACCAAUUGCAAGUACCAGGUUUAUAAAGAACCCAGUGCCUAAAUGAAUUGACAUAGUGAUCCUGCUUUUCUCCAGACUUGCUCUCUUACCUGCUGCCCAGUGCUCCCCUGAGGCCUUUUGCACUAAAAUGGCUGGAAAUUUGUACAAACCAUGAAAUACCAUCAAACCUUUAUUUUUUAGUAAUCCAUAUAAGCUGGUGCUUGAGUUAAUUCUAAGGUCAUUGAUUGAUAUCUGUUAAUAAAUAAAAGUCAUUUUUUGGUAAAUCGUGAAGUGCUCAUUCACGUGAUGUACUAUGUAUGGAGUUGUGAUUUAUUUUAGAUACUGUGCUGUUGAAUCAAUCAUAUCAAACUGUCCUGUAUAUUACAACAAAUGUUCCCACUUUCUCCAUAUUGUAAUCACUUGAUAGUUUUUGUUAGACUUCUGGGUUGUCAUCAUGUCAGUCACCUUUCCUGUUAAAAAUCGACACAGCUUAUUGUCUUUUGGAUAUACUUUCAACACAUUAUUUUGGAUCUCACUGUGUCUUACAGUCAGUAAAAAAAUGAGGGUCUACUUGGAUUAGUUCUAUUUUCAAAUUACUUUUUGCCGCCUCUACCCGAAUCUAUUUUAUUUUCAAAUGAACUGAAUCAUUCAAAGCAGUGGCGCCUUGCAUUUUGUUCUGUAUUUAUACUUUUAUUUUCAAUUUGAAAUAUGUCCUUACUAUUUUACUGGGUUGGGGUCAAUUCUAAUAUAAUUUGAAAUUCCAAUAAAUUGUUUGAAUUCACUCAUGAAGUGGAGAAUUUAAUUAAAUUCUCAUUUUUAAAAAGUCUUCAAGCUAUGGAAUUGAACUGGAAUUAGACUGUUUGGACUUUUUGAAUUGGAAUUGUAAAAACAUGUAAUCUUUGGAAUAAAAUGUGUACAUUUCCCAGUUAAUAAAAUUAAUGCACAUAGUAUCAAACAUUGACUGUAUGAUUUGUUUUUAAUCAUUUCAACUUGUAUUUCUAUAUUUCCAGUAUAGCUAGGCUGUCUGAACAGUGAUAUGGUCAGCCUGAAAGCCUGAGGGAACUGAAUUACAAUUGUAAUUUGUUGAAUUGUUGCGAUAAUAUUGAUUUGAAUGGAAUUAUCUCUGAAAUUAAAGAUUGAUCUGGAACUUGAAUUUAAUUAAAUGGAAUUUACAGGGAGAGAGAUUUGAAUUGAAUUUCUGGAAUUGACCUCAACCCUGCUAUUUUAUGAUUGCCAAUUUUCUAAAUAUAUAUAUACAUGUUGUAUCAAUGUACAUCUCAAUAUAGUCUUUGGACAUCGUUUUUGGAUGGACAAUAUGAGAUCUGUAAAUGGAAGUCAUUAUACUGUCCUAAUUAGUUGAUUCAUAUAAGAAUGUAUGUACUGUAUGUAUUUAUAAUAUGGACAAAGUACUGCUGACCCCUUCAAGUGUUGAGUCCCCUUGACAUGAUGGCAAGCACUCUAUAACAAACAUAUUCUUAUAGCAUGUCAUGGUUUGUGUAUGACAUCCUAAUAAAACAUAGAUGGCAUGCAAAGGGUCAAUGCUGUUAUUUUAUCACAAUGACAUCACGUCUUGAAUUCUGGAUUUGUAUUUAGAUUGUGGGUAAUAUUACCCAUAAUGCACAUUAGGUUCAGGCCAUAGAGCUAGAUGGGGGUUUCAUCUUUGUAUCUGGACCAUUACAGCAUCUGUGACAGCAUGGGCAGCGCAAUUGAGGCAAUAUCCAUUUUGAAGUAGUCCAUUUUCUUCUUCACGAUUGGCUGAUCCCUCCUGAUGACCCGGGUGAGACAUGAUUCGAACAAGGUCACCAGGAGGGUUCAGCCACCCAGUUGACUACAUUAAGAUGGUGGAAGCCCUCAAUGGCGCUGCACAUGCUAAAACAACAUUUUGACCACCAGAGGACUCUAAUUCUAUAUGGUUCAGGCAUUAUCAUAUUUCUAUUUUCUUUGUUUUACAAGCAGUUACUUUUUCAAAUACCUACAAAGACAAAAGUAUUGCAAGUAAUUGGAUAUUGAAAAUCAACAGGGGUUGAUUUAAUAUAUAGCCCGUCAUGAGCCUAUUGUUGUUGCAUUUAGAUGUAAUGUGGGACAUCUUAUCAUCCUGAAUAAACAUAUGCAUUUUUGAGGUCAGGUAAACUGUAUAUAAGAUGUUUG